rnacentral:rRNA from 1 species
GGGAUAACUUCGGGAAACCGUAGCUAAUACCGGAUAAUCCAUUUCCUCUCAUGGGGAAAUGCUGAAAGACGGUUUACGCUGUCACUUAUAGAUGGGCCCGCGGCGCAUUAGCUAGUUGGUGAGGUAACGGCUCACCAAGGCAACGAUGCGUAGCCGACCUGAGAGGGUGAUCGGCCACACUGGGACUGAGACACGGCCCAGACUCCUACGGGAGGCAGCAGUAGGGAAUCUUCCACAAUGGACGAAAGUCUGAUGGAGCAACGCCGCGUGAGCGAUGAAGGCCUUCGGGUCGUAAAGCUCUGUUGUUAGGGAAGAACAAGUACCGGAGUAACUGCCGGUACCAUGACGGUACCUAACCAGAAAGCCACGGCUAACUACGUGCCAGCAGCCGCGGUAAUACGUAUGUGGCAAGCGUUGUCCGGAAUUAUUGGGCGUAAAGCGCGCGCAGGCGGUCCUUUAAGUCUGAUGUGAAAGCCCACGGCUCAACCGUGGAGGGUCAUUGGAAACUGGGGGACUUGAGUGCAGAAGAGGAAAGCGGAAUUCCACGUGUAGCGGUGAAAUGCGUAGAGAUGUGGAGGAACACCAGUGGCGAAUGCGGCUUUCUGGUCUGUAACUGACGCUGAGCGCGAAAGCGUGGGGAGCAAACAGGAUUA